rnacentral:snRNA from 1 species
UUGCUUGCUUUGACAGCACAUAUACUAAAAUCAGAAUAAUACAGAGAAGAUUAGCAUGGUCCCUGCACAAGGAUGACAUGCAAAUUUGUGAAGCAGUCCAUAUUUUU